ensembl:lncRNA
UUUAAGGGGCUGUGAGCUCUUCACAUAGGAAGGGAAGAGCGAUCCAGCUGCAGUUUUCUGCAGCACCCCCCAGUAUGUGGGUUAAAACGGAAGAGCAGUCACAGCCCCAGAGCACCCAGCAGAGAUUUCCUGUUUCUCUGCCAAGCCAUGGUAGGGUUUCAAACCAAAAUAAAAGAAUUUAAUGAGUCCAUAGCAAAGGAAAUUCAGCUAAGUGCAGCAUGAUUAGGAUGCUAGUGCUAAUCUUUAAAAGUGAUAGUAUUUGAUCAAGGAAGAUGUCCUCCAAAACUGAUCUUAAAGUUGCAAUAAAAAAAUUCUGGCUAUAGAGCUGGAGAGUGAAGGGUGCUUGGGGGGAGCUCUCCCAGUCGGUAACAUUUCCUUCUGAACAUGACUUAUUGUAGUGCCAGUUGUGUAAUAACUAUCUUACAGUUUAUCACUACUGCCAAGAGCUGACUUUACAGCAGCAAGAAACCACAUGUUGAAGGUUUGAUGGCUGCAUUUCAUUCAGGAGAUUAUGAAACCUCCCCCUCUCUUUAUUUUUUUAAUAAGUGGGAAACUAAGAAAAUCACAAGUGAGAAGUGUGGUACCCAGGAAUGAAAUGUCUCCAAGUAACAGAAAAGUAACCGGAGAGGCUUUGAGAAGCUGCACUGGUGAGGAAAUCCCAAAGGCUGAGGCUCAGCCAGCACCAGCAUCCAGCUGCAAAGAGGGCACAGAAGUCACACACUGGCAAUGCAUGAGGGGAGGAAGAGGAUGGAGUCAGGUGCUGGGAGGGCCAGGCACCAGCAAGAGAUUCCCUGCCAGCUCUGUUCAGAAGCUGCCACAGACCCGAUGACUUACGCUGCUUGGAAGCACGCCGUGAGAGUAAUGGACUCCUCCGCCCUUGCCAAACCAUUCCUACAAAAACAGAGAGUUUAUAUGAAUUUUAUAGACCUUAAUUGGUUUUUUAAUACUAUUAGCUUAGUAAUUUGUGGUUUGUUAAUAACAACCUUGACAAAGCCAAAACAUCUACUGGCAUUAUAGACAGAACUGUUGCAAGCAAAAGAGACUGAGAGAAACAUGGUGCAUUCAGAAACAGAGGUUCCUCCCCCCAAGCCAAUGCUGAUGUGAUGGGGUUACCAGCAGCACUUGCUACCACAAUGGCCAAGGUGCUUUUUAUUGUUUUAGUUUUUUUUUUUCCUUCAGAGAAACAUGGUACUGUCCACUAAAUCAUUUUUCUUCUAUUUCUGUGAUCUCUACCAUCUUUCACUUCUUUAUUUUCUUUUAUUUUUCCCCCCAAGAUAGAUCCAUUCAGCCCCAGUUUAUCUCAAAAUUCAUCAGAAUAACUUGGAGGUGAUGGAAAUCACAGGUCCUUCACAGUGAAAGCAGUCACAGAUACUGCACAAGAGCAAGGGGAGACAACAAGAGCUGGGCUUUGAGCAGCUGUGGAAAGGUCACAGGCAGACAAAAGGCAAGAACCUAGAAGACUCUAAGAAGUGCCUAUUCCCUCACAGCUGUUACCACACCUUCAGUACAAGUUGAAGUUUAGGCAACAAAGAGUAUCACACGAGCACUACCAAAUGUAGUUCAGUGAAGGCAUCUAACUCAACUUAAACAGCCCCUAGUGCUGCCAGGAGCAGCAGGGAAGUGUUGCCCUGCUUUUGAGAAACAGCUGCUACCUAGGCACCACCACUUGUGCUAAAUUCUGACAAGCAGCAUUAACCUAGUGAUUCAGGAUGGCUGCUGCCACCUGAGCUCCAGUUCCAGGCUUGUACAUUACAGCUAUCACAAAAAAGCGUCAUCUUGAACAGGAAGCAUGCCGUUAGCAAAAAACAAAACAAACUCAUAGUAAAAAU